CGAAAUGCGAUAAGUAAUGUGAAUUGCAGAAUUCCGUGAAUCAUCGAAUCUUUGAACGCACAUUGCGCCCGCCAGUAUUCUGGCGGGCAUGCCUGUUCGAGCGUCAUUUCAACCAUCAAGCCCCCGGGCUUGUGUUGGGGACCUGCGGCUGCCGCAGGCCCCGAAAACCAGUGGCGGGCUCGCUGUCACACCGGGCGUAGUAGAUUUUUCGUCUCGCCCAGGGCGUGCUGCGGGUUCCGGCCGUUAAAAAGCCUCUCUUUUAACCCAAGGUUGACCUCGGAUCAGGUAGGAAGACCCGCUGAACUUAAGC
rnacentral:misc_RNA from 1 species